rnacentral:rRNA from 3 species
CAGAGAUGGAUUGGUGCCUUCGGGAACUGUGAGACAGGUGCUGCAUGGCUGUCGUCAGCUCGUGUUGUGAAAUGUUGGGUUAAGUCCCGCAACGAGCGCAACCCUUAUCCUUUGUUGCCAGCGAUUAGGUCGGGAACUCAAAGGAGACUGCCAGUGAUAAACUGGAGGAAGGUGGGGAUGACGUCAAGUCAUCAUGGCCCUUACGACCAGGGCUACACACGUGCUACAAUGGCGCAUACAAAGAGAAGCGACCUCGCGAGAGCAAGCGGACCUCAUAAAGUGCGUCGUAGUCCGGAUUGGAGUCUGCAACUCGACUCCAUGAAGUCGGAAUCGCUAGUAAUCGUGGAUCAGAAUGCCACGGUGAAUACGUUCCCGGGCCUUGUACACACCGCCCGUCACACCAUGGGAGUGGGUUGCAAAAGAAGUAGGUAGCUUAACCUUCGGGAGGGCGCUUACCACUUUGUGAUUCAUGACUGGGGUGAAGUCGUAACAAGGUAACCGUAGGGGAACCUGCGGUUGGA